AUUGAACGCUGGCGGCAUGCCUUACACAUGCAAGUCGAACGGCAGCACGGGGGGUAACCCCUGGUGGCGAGUGGCGAACGGGUGAGUAAUAUAUCGGAACAUGCCCUGUAGCGGGGGAUAACGCGUCGAAAGAUGUGCUAAUACCGCAUACGCUCUACGGAGGAAAGCGGGGGUCGCAAGACCUCGCACUAUAGGAGUGGCCGAUAUCGGAUUAGCUAGUUGGCGGGGAACAGCCCACCAAGGCUACGAUCCGUAGCUAGUCUGAGAGGAUGAUCAGCCACACUGGAACUGAGACACGGUCCAGACUCCUACGGGAGGCAGCAGUGGGGAAUUUUGGACAAUGGGCGCAAGCCUGAUCCAGCCAUGCCGCGUGAGUGAAGAAGG
rnacentral:rRNA from 1 species